rnacentral:rRNA from 1 species
AGCGGCGGACGGGUGAGUAACGCGUAGGAAUCUACCCAGUAGUGGGGGACAACAUGGGGAAACCCAUGCUAAUACCGCAUACGCCCUACGGGGGAAAGCGGGGGAUCUUCGGACCUCGCGCUAUUGGAUGAGCCUGCGUUGGAUUAGCUAGUUGGUGGGGUAAAGGCCUACCAAGGCGACGAUCCAUAGCUGGUCUGAGAGGAUGAUCAGCCACACCGGGACUGAGACACGGCCCGG